rnacentral:rRNA from 1 species
UCACACUAUCAUUAACUGAAUCCAUAGGUUAAUGAGGCGAACCGGGGGAACUGAAACAUCUAAGUACCCCGAGGAAAAGAAAUCAACCGAGAUUCCCCCAGUAGCGGCGAGCGAACGGGGAGGAGCCCAGAGCCUGAAUCAGCAUGUGUGUUAGUGGAAGCGUCUGGAAAGGCGCGCGAUACAGGGUGACAGCCCCGUACACAAAAGCGCACAUGCUGUGAGCUCGAUGAGUAGGGCGGGACACGUGGUAUCCUGUCUGAAUAUGGGGGGACCAUCCUCCAAGGCUAAAUACUCCUGACUGACCGAUAGUGAACCAGUACCGUGAGGGAAAGGCGAAAAGAACCCCGGCGAGGGGAGUGAAAAAGAACCUGAAACCGUGUACGUACAAGCAGUGGGAGCACCCUUUGGGGUGUGACUGCGUACCUUUUGUAUAAUGGGUCAGCGACUUAUAUUCUGUAGCAAGGUUAACCGUAUAGGGGAGCCGGAGGGAAACCGAGUCUUAAUUGGGCGUUAAGUUGCAGGGUAUAGACCCGAAACCCGGUGAUCUAGCCAUGGGCAGGUUGAAGGUUGGGUAACACUAACUGGAGGACCGAACCGACUAAUGUUGAAAAAUUAGCGGAUGACCUGUGGCUGGGGGUGAAAGGCCAAUCAAACCGGGAGAUAGCUGGUUCUCCCCGAAAGCUAUUUAGGUAGCGCCUCGUGAAUUCAUCUCCGGGGGUAGAGCACUGUUUCGGCUAGGGGGCCAUCCCGGCUUACCAACCCGAUGCAAACUGCGAAUACCGGAGAAUGUUAUCACGGGAGACACACGGCGGGUGCUAACGUCCGUCGUGAAGAGGGAAACAACCCAGACCGCCAGCUAAGGUCCCAAAGUCAUGGUUAAGUGGGAAACGAUGUGGGAAGGCCCAGACAGCCAGGAUGUUGGCUUAGAAGCAGCCAUCAUUUAAAGAAAGCGUAAUAGCUCACUGGUCGAGUCGGCCUGCGCGGAAGAUGUAACGGGGCUAAACCAUGCACCGAAGCUGCGGCAGCGACGCUGAUGCGUUGUUGGGUAGGGGAGCGUUCUGUAAGCCUGUGAAGGUGGCCUGUGAGGGUUGCUGGAGGUAUCAGAAGUGCGAAUGCUGACAUAAGUAACGAUAAAGCGGGUGAAAAGCCCGCUCGCCGGAAGACCAAGGGUUCCUGUCCAACGUUAAUCGGGGCAGGGUGAGUCGACCCCUAAGGCGAGGCCGAAAGGCGUAGUCGAUGGGAAACGGGUUAAUAUUCCCGUACUUGGUGUUACUGCGAAGGGGGGACGGAGAAGGCUAUGUUGGCCGGGCGACGGUUGUCCCGGUUUAAGCGUGUAGGUGUGUGUUCCAGGUAAAUCCGGUUCACUUUAACACUGAGGCGUGAUGACGAGGC